rnacentral:rRNA from 1 species
UACAGAGGUCCCAAGCGUUGUUCGGAUUCACUGGGCGUAAAGGGUGCGUAGGUGGCUUGGUAAGCUUGAUGUGAAAUCUCCGGGCUUAACCCGGAAAUGGCAUUGAAUACUAUUGAGCUGGAGGUUUGGAGGGGGGACUGGAAUUCUCGGUGUAGCAGUGAAAUGCGUAGAUAUCGAGAGGAACACCAGUGGCGAAGGCGAGUCCCUGGACAACACCUGACACUGAGGCACGAAAGCUGGGGGAGCAAACAGG